CCUACGGGGGGCUGCAGUGAGGAAUAUUGGUCAAUGGACGAGAGUCUGAACCAGCCAAGUAGCGUGAAGGAUGACUGCCCUAUGGGUUGUAAACUUCUUUUAUAUGGGAAUAAAAUGUUCCACGUGUGGGAUUUUGUAUGUACCAUAUGAAUAAGGAUCGGCUAACUCCGUGCCAGCAGCCGCGGUAAUACGGAGGAUCCGAGCGUUAUCCGGAUUUAUUGGGUUUAAAGGGAGCGUAGGUGGAUUGUUAAGUCAGUUGUGAAAGUUUGCGGCUCAACCGUAAAAUUGCAGUUGAAACUGGCAGUCUUGAGUACAGUAGAGGUGGGCGGAAUUCGUGGUGUAGCGGUGAAAUGCUUAGAUAUCACGAAGAACUCCGAUUGCGAAGGCAGUUCACUGGACUGCAACUGACACUGAGGCUCGAAAGUGUGGGUAUCAAACAGGAUUAGAUACCCUAGUUC
rnacentral:rRNA from 1 species